rnacentral:lncRNA from 1 species
CUACUGUAGAUAUUACCUCAGUCAAACAGGGCUGAAAAGUUCUAUACCGAAAGGGGUUGGAAAGUAUUUGUUCAUUUUCAUACAGGACGAGAUAUUGAGGCGGUGGUACAUUUGGCAUCCAUUACCAAACGGGGUAUAAGGACGACCAGUUAUUUAAUAGAUUAGAUAUUGGGUCUACGUAUAAGGAGAACUCCUAUGGACCCCUAAAGAUAUUGAU